GACCGUCAAACCCUCGACCCUGGUCAGUCAGUGCAGAGCUUUCAGUAACAGCAACACGCCAAGAGUUCAUUCUGCUAUUUAUGAGAGGUAUCCUGUACUUCGUAUCAAUCCACUCACUCUACAAACUGACUUCUAGCUACACGAGAGGCUGCAGUAAGAUGGUGCUGUGCUGUACAGUGCUCCUCCAUCCACUCUGCAAAGCCCCCCGGCAGCUGCCAGGAGAGGCCGCAGCUGUACAGAAGCUGAUGUAUAACCACACAAAGGCUGCACUGAAGCCAAGAUAUUUCAUAAUCUCCAUUUUAUUUCUUCGAAGCAAAACACAAGCUGAUUUCUCCAACACUGAAAGGAAAGAAAAUAGCCUCCACCCUGCUAAUGAUCCCUCAGGGGAGGCACCAUCAAGAGGCAACACUUCUUGUAGCAGAGAAAAGCCACGGCUGCUGCUGUCCCAGCAUGCAACAUCAGCCCUGAGAGUUAUCUGCAGCCCACAGACAUCAACUAAUCUCAGCGGGUGAGGAACGAAGCCUCUCCCCAUGGGAACUCAGCUGAUUCAGGGAGGGCGCAAAUUCUAUUCAAUCACUAAUUAUGAAUGAGAGGAAGAGCUGCAAAUCAAAACCAGGAAGGUGAGCAGGCAGUGAGAAGAUGCACAACUGCCAGUUGACUUUACUGCAAGCAUAAUGUGGAAAACGUGCAGCACAGCCACUCAGAUGACUGCCCAUAACAUUCUGAAGAAUUACA
rnacentral:lncRNA from 7 species